rnacentral:rRNA from 1 species
AACGAACGCUGGCGGCAUGCCUAACACAUGCAAGUCGAACGAGACCUUCGGGUCUAGUGGCGCACGGGUGCGUAACGCGUGGGAACCUGCCCUUAGGUUCGGCAUAACUCCCCGAAAGGGGUGCUAAUACCGGAUAAUGUCUUCGGACCAAAGAUUUAUCGCCUUUGGAUGGGCCCGCGUUGGAUUAGCUAGUUGGUAGGGUAAAAGCCUACCAAGGCGACGAUCCAUAGCUGGUCUGAGAGGAUGAUCAGCCACACUGGGACUGAGACACGGCCCAGACUCCUACGGGAAGCAGGAGUGGGGAAUAUUGGACAAUGGGCGAAAGCCUGAUGCAGCAAGGACGGGUGAGUGAUGAAGGCUGUAGGGUUGUAAAGCUAUUUUACCCGGGAUGAUAAUGACAGUACCGGGAGAAUAAGCUCCGGCUAACUCCGUG